GCCCUGAUGGCUCAGUUGGUUAGAGCGCAGGUCUCAUACUACCUGUAUGACCGGUAUCGUUACUGGGCAAUCCUGAGGUCGCAAGUUCGAACCUUGCUCAGGGCA